AUUUAUCGAACAGUUUGAUCCUGGCUCAGGACGAACGCUGGCGGCGUGCCUAAUACAUGCAAGUCGAGCGGACAGAUGGGAGCUUGCUCCCUGAUGUUAGCGGCGGACGGGUGAGUAACACGUGGGUAACCUGCCUGUAAUACUGGGAUAACUCCGGGAAACCGGGGCUAAUACCGGAUGGUUGUUUGAACCGCAUGGUUCAAACAUAAAAGGUGGCUUCCGCUACCACUUACAGAUGGACCCGCGGCGCAUUAGCUCGUUGGUGAGGUAACGGCUCACCAAGGCGACGAUGCGUACCCCACCUGUGAGGGUGAUCGGUCACACUGGGACUGAUACACGGCCCACACUCCUACGGGAGGCAGCAGUAGUGAAUCUUCCGCAAUGUACGAAAGUCUGACGGAGCAACGCCGCGUGAGUGAUGAAGGUUUUCGGAUCGUAAAGCUCUGUUGUUAGGGAAGAACAAGUACCGUUCGAAUAGGGCGGUACCUUGACGGUACCUAACCAGAAAGCCACGGCUAACUACGUGCCAGCAGCCGCGGUAAUACGUAGGUGGCAAGCGUUGUCCGGAAUUAUUGGGCGUAAAGGGCUCGCAGGCGGUUUCUUAAGUCUGAUGUGAAAGCCCCCGGCUCAACCGGGGAGGGUCAUUGGAAACUGGGGAACUUGAGUGCAGAAGAGGAGAGUGGAAUUCCACGUGUAGCGGUGAAAUGCGUAGAGAUGUGGAGGAACACCAGUGGCGAAGGCGACUCUCUGGUCUGUAACUGACGCUGAGGAGCGAAAGCGUGGGGAGCGAACAGGAUUAGAUACCCUGGUAGUCCACGCCGUAAACGAUGAGUGCUAAGUGUUAGGGGGUUUCCGCCCCUUAGUGCUGCAGCUAACGCAUUAAGCACUCCGCCUGGGGAGUACGGUCGCAAGACUGAAACUCAAAGGAAUUGACGGGGGCCCGCACAAGCGGUGGAGCAUGUGGUUUAAUUCGAAGCAACGCGAAGAACCUUACCAGGUCUUGACAUCCUCUGACAAUCCUAGAGAUAGGACGUCCCCUUCGGGGGCAGAGUGACAGGUGGUGCAUGGUUGUCGUCAGCUCGUGUCGUGAGAUGUUGGGUUAAGUCCCGCAACGAGCGCAACCCUUGAUCUUAGUUGCCAGCAUUCAGUUGGGCACUCUAAGGUGACUGCCGGUGACAAACCGGAGGAAGGUGGGGAUGACGUCAAAUCAUCAUGCCCCUUAUGACCUGGGCUACACACGUGCUACAAUGGACAGAACAAAGGGCAGCGAAACCGCGAGGUUAAGCCAAUCCCACAAAUCUGUUCUCAGUUCGGAUCGCAGUCUGCAACUCGACUGCGUGAAGCUGGAAUCGCUAGUAAUCGCGGAUCAGCAUGCCGCGGUGAAUACGUUCCCGGGCCUUGUACACACCGCCCGUCACACCACGAGAGUUUGUAACACCCGAAGUCGGUGAGGUAACCUUUUAGGAGCCAGCCGCCGAAGGUGGGACAGAUGAUUGGGGUGAAGUCGUAACAAGGUAGCCGUAUCGGAAGGUGCGGCUGGAUCACCUCCUUUCUAAGGA
rnacentral:rRNA from 1 species